rnacentral:rRNA from 1 species
UACGGGGGGGGCAAGCGUUGUUCGGAAUUACUGGGCGUAAAGGGCUCGUAGGUGGCCAACUAAGUCGGACGUGAAAUCCCUCGGCUUAACCGGGGAACUGCGUCCGAUACUGGUUGGCUUGAGUUUGGGAGAGGGAUGCGGAAUUCCAGGUGUAGCGGUGAAAUGCGUAGAUAUCUGGAGGAACACCCGUGGCGAAGGCGGCUCUCUGGGACGUGACUGACGCUGAGACGCGAAAGCGUGGGGAGCGAACAGG